CAGACACAGGGAAGAAAAGAUACAGUCAGUCUGUCUGAGGUCUGCUCAGACACACCCUUGCCUGCAAUUUGACUAUUGUGGGGGGGCCCUCAGUCACAGGCUGCCGGAGGGGAGAAAACAGAUCCCAGCGGCCAGCUGAAGUUGUCUAGCCCAGAGUCCUCUAGGAACGGCAAGAAACAGCCAACUGACACCAUCCCAGAAAGCUCCAAGCUUCUGCUGCCAUCUAAACCAGCCCUUCUGUCCUUGAAGAUGAAGCUUCUACAUCGAAAAGCCCCAUGUCCUCGGGAAGACUGGAAUUCCAGGCCACCGGCAAGUGUCCCAUCGGGUCACCAACUUUGGGUUGACAUUAGGUUGCCCAUCAGUUCCCUUUCUGGCAAGUUUCCCGAAGCGCCAUCUUCCAUCUGACUUUGUUCUCCAUAAGUACUUAUUUAAUCAUGUCAGACUGUGAAGAGCUUCAAUGCUUCUCCGUUCCUUUGGCUCAUGAGACUUUGAGCUCCCGCCCCGCUUUCCCAUCCCUACCCUGUCACCUCCCCAACGGACAAUAGCUUCGCAGUGUGCCCAGCUUCUCUGCCUCCAUGCUUCUUCCUCCCCACUCCACCCCAAUCUCUCUGCUUGUCUCAACUGGCUUGUGGCCGUUCACAAUGCUUUGUCCCUUGCCGCCAAAACCGCUAGCUACCUCUCUGGCUCCCGUGAGGAUCCUGCCUGGGAUCCUCACCGUGACAAGGAACACAUGGGCCGCCUUUCCCGCAUCUGAGAUCAGGUAAGAGAACGGAUUUUGAAAAAGUGUUAUCCCAAGGCAAAGAUUGAAACCAUCUCUUCUUUCAAAGCCUUCCUCCCCGCCCCGCGGCCCCCCCAAGAAGGCCCGAGUAGGUGGGAGAUCUCCGAGCCGGCCGAGGAGGGAGCAUGUGGAUUCACUCAGACAUCAAGGGACUGGUAACACCCAAACUCAUUUUCCCAGUGAUACAGGGCCGGCCCCCCCCAACCGGCUUUGGCUGUCGCUACCACCCAGCUCUCUUCCCCGGGGCUGCAGACACGGCCCGUAGCUCCCCCGGAGCGGGACUUUGUCCUUUUUUGGCCCAGAUAUUGUCUAUUGUGUGAGAGGGGCAGUCAUCCUUUGUGAGGCUGGGACAUAUUAAGUGCUGGGAGUUGCCACCCAAACAAUAAGCUCAGAAUGAAUCACAGUCUUAGAGGAGGGAUGACACCUCAGAUCCAUCAUGUGACGCCACGGGGGUCUGUCUCCCCGCUAGCCUCUCUGUUGGCCGUCCCAUGCUUCCUAGCUGAGACCCGCAAGAAACGUGGCUGAUGGCAAUCUGUUAUCUCAGAACAUUUGUACGUACCGGGACAGUUCCCCCGGGCCCUACCUCUCUGAGGGGGGAACUCUCCCAAUAGACUCAAAUAUUCUGAGAUAAUCUAGGACCCUCCCUCACGGACACCAAGGACAUCGUGUCACUAAAGAGGCAGUGAUUCAGAGAAUUAGCUUUCAAAUCCUGCUUCAAACACUACUUGGGGUAUCAGGCAAGGCCCUUCAUUUCCCCGGUAAAAGUUCCUUCCAACUCUCAAGCUCGGACACCCAAUUGCCUCGAGGCUAGACCUCGGUCCCUCCUUCUAUCCAAGGCCCACGGAUAGCAACAAGCCCUCUUCUUCACUGACAGGAAGAUUUGAGAGCUGUAGGAUUCUUAUUAGCUCAGUCCAACCUUGUAAUUUUACAGAGGAAGAAACCAAGCUCCAGGGAACUCAACUUGACCAAGAUCAUACAGAUAGCAGAACCAGACUUGGGUCAUUUCAAAUUCCCUCAGGUUUUGUCGUUUCUUACCUGUGUGACCUCAGCCUGGUUACUUCCCUUUUCUGGGCCUCAGUUUCCAUCUCUGUCAAAUUAGGAAGGGGGUCUAAAUGACUUCUGAGGUCCUGGGAAUUUGACUAGCCAGACCCUGGGCCCGAAGAGAAAUGGGCCUCUAGAGCUGAAAGAAAUCGGGCUUUAGAAAGAGCCGAGCUUUGAACGAGUUCAGAAUUUCUGUUUUAGGCUACCACGCCGUGGGAGAGAAGAGGAAGGACGGUCAAAAGGAAACUGGAGGGAAGCUCUGUCCCUGGAAGACGCAGGGCACUGCCAUGGGCACAUCACAGAGCCUUGGACACGUUGUUGAUGGCUGCUAACUGCCCUCAUUUCUAUCCUUGGAGGAAGAGGCCCUGGAGAGCACUCUGGCCAUCUGUGUCUGGGACAGGGCCUUGCGAACCGGAGGAUGAUGCCGGAGGAAGGAGACGUCGGUGGAGCAGAGAGUUCCUUGCCCAAGCUGGGAUCUGGGGACCGCAGCACAACGAGCAGGUAGUCGGAGAACAACAGGAGAGCUUUGAGAUCAAGCCUUCUGGACCAAGCAGGAGUCAGAACUGAGGACCGGCCAAGAUCGGAUGGUUCGGAGGAGCAAACCCAGAGCCAGGACUAUGGAUCCUGGGGAGGGCCAAAGAAGCUGUUUUCUUACUGCCCGCUUUCCUCUUGGGAGUGUAUGAGUGUGGGGAGAUGCCCUGGCGUGGGGCGGGCGGGGGGGAGGAGGAGGGAAAGGGAAAAGGCCCAGCCAGAGUUAUACUAGAAGUGUCCAUGACACACGAGGGUCUGUUCUUACCAAAAGGUAAUUAAGCCUGACUCUUUUUUACUUAAUUUAAUUUAAUUUUUUAAUAAAGCUUUUUAUUUUCAAAACA